UACGUAGGGUGCAAGCGUUAAUCGGAAUUACUGGGCGUAAAGCGUGCGUAGACGGUUGCGUAAGUCAGAUGUGAAAGCCCCGGGCUCAACCUGGGAAUUGCAUUUGAGACUGCGUAGCUAGGGUGCGGAAGAGGGAAGCGGAAUUUCCGGUGUAGCGGUGAAAUGCGUAGAUAUCGGAAGGAACACCAGUGGCGAAAGCGGCUUCCUGGUCCAGCACCGACGUUCAGGCACGAAAGCGUGGGGAGCAAACAGG
rnacentral:rRNA from 1 species